rnacentral:pre_miRNA from 9 species
UCUCGAUGACGUAAAAGUUAACUCAAAUUUGUUUGGAGUUCAAACGUUUGCCUACGUUUGCCGCUAGGGGCGCUAUUCCAACUGCAUACAAAUUUGAGUUAACUUUUACGCUGUCGA